GUGCCAGCCGCCGCGGUAAUACGGAGGGGGCUAGCGUUGUUCGGAAUUACUGGGCGUAAAGGGCACGUAGGCUGGCUGUUAAGUCGGUGGUGAAAUGCUGAGGCUCAACCUCAGAAUUGCCUUCGAUACUGACGGUCUUGAGUGCGGGAGAGGUGAGUGGAAUUCCCAGUGUAGAGGUGAAAUUCGUAGAUAUUGGGAAGAACACCAGUGGCGAAGGCGGCUCACUGGCCCGCAACUGACGCUGAGGUGCGAAAGCGUGGGGAGCAAACAGGAUUAGAAACCCCUGUAGUCC
rnacentral:rRNA from 1 species